rnacentral:rRNA from 1 species
UCCGACCUCGGAUCAGACGAGACUACCCGCUGAACUUAAGCAUAUCAGUAAGCGGAGGAAAAGAAACUAACAAGGAUUCCCUCAGUAACGGCGAGUGAAGCGGGAAGAGCAAU